UGGUAGAUGCACCCUGAUAACUAACUCCCCUGGUUGACUGCCUUCCACUAGGGGUUUUUUUA
rnacentral:sRNA from 1 species